CUAUUUGAGGACACCAGGCCUUGGAUGUUUCUGCUUCUUAUACCUCCUGAGUCAGGUGGCAGUGGGGAAAGGCAGACACCGCACACACCUGGUCCACUGGCCGCAUGGCUCCUGGAAAUGCUAGUGUGAAUUUCUUAUGGGUUCUUUCAAAGGACACUUUUAGACCUCCCUUUUGUCCCAAGGAUUCUAGUUGCUUCAUCUUUAGUACCACAGACUGGUGGCUAAACAACGAACAUUUACUCUGCCAGGACAACCUCGCUGCCCUCGUGGUUCCCAGCACCUGCCCGGACCUCCACACCAGGCUACUGUUUCCCCAAACAAACAUGCUACAGGCAGCUCCCCUCGGCCAAGCUCAUGGACUCGGGAGGGACUGGAGUAUACAAUCUGCACAGAGAAGUUCUUGUCUGGCUCCGGCUGUCCAUAUCACAUGGCUGUAUUAUUUCAGAAAGUGUAUUCAAGGAGCAAUAUUCCGGGAGGCCUUUUCGAUGCCUGGGAGAGACCAGCAGAGACUCCGUGCAACCGGCUGCCAAUGAGGACGCAGGGCCGUGCCCUCCAAGGGGCAUCUUGCACCCUCUU
rnacentral:lncRNA from 1 species